rnacentral:rRNA from 1 species
AUUGAACGCUGGCGGCAGGCCUAACACAUGCAAGUCGAACGAGUGGCGGACGGGUGAGUAAUGUCUGGGACACUGCCUGAUGGAGGGGGAUCACUACUGGAAACGGUAGCUAAUACCGCAUACCAUCGGAUGUGCCCAGAUGGGAUUAGCGAGUAGGUGGGGUAACGGCUCACCUAGGCGACGAUCCCUAGCUGGUCUGAGAGGAUGACCAGUCACACUGGAACUGAGACACGGUCCAGACUCCUACGGGAGGCAGCAGUGGGGAAUAUUGGACAAUGGGCGAAAGCCUGAUGCAGCCAUGCCGCGUGUGUGAAGAAGGCCUUCGGAUUGUAAAGCACUUUCAGCGGGGAGGCGUUACCCGCAGAAGAAGCACCGGCUAACUCCGUGCCAGCAGCCGCGGUAAUUC